GCGUCCUUAGCUCAGCUGGAUAGAGUACCUGGCUACGAACCAGGCGGUCGGAGGUUCGAAUACUCCAGGACACGCCA
rnacentral:tRNA from 1 species